rnacentral:rRNA from 1 species
UACAGAGGUCCCAAGCGUUGUUCGGAAUUACUGGGCGUAAAGGGCUCGUAGGCGGCCAACUAAGUCAGACGUGAAAUCCCUCAGCUUAACUGGGGAACUGCGUCUGAUACUGGAUGGCUUGAAUCCGGGAGAGGGAUGCAGAAUUCCAGGUGUAGCGGUGAAAUGCGUAGAUAUCUGGAGGAAUACCGGUGGCGAAGGCGGCAUCCUGGACCGGCAUUGACGCUGAGGAGCGAAAGCCAGGGGAGCAAACGGG